GUGGGAGGGGGCUUGCUCCCGAUGGCGGCGCAUCAGUCAGUGCAUUGUUGACUGAUCUACCGCUAUCGGGAGCAAGCCCCCUCCCAC
rnacentral:misc_RNA from 1 species